rnacentral:rRNA from 1 species
CCUACGGGAGGCAGCAGUGGGGAAUCUUGCACAAUGGGCGAAAGCCUGAUGCAGCAACGCCGCGUGCGGGAAGAAGGCCCUAGGGUUGUAAACCGCUUUCAGUAGGGAAGAAAAUGACGGUACCUACAGAAGAAGGUGCGGCCAACUACGUGCCAGCAGCCGCGGUGACACGUAGGCACCAAGCGUUAUCCGGAUUUAUUGGGCGUAAAGAGCUCGUAGGCGGUUCGGUAAGUCGGGUGUGAAAACUCUGGGCUCAACCCAGAGAGGCCACCCGAUACUGCUGUGACUAGAGUGCGGUAGGGGAGCGGGGAAUUCCUGGUGUAGCGGUGAAAUGCGCAGAUAUCAGGAGGAACACCAGCGGCGAAGGCGCCGCUCUGGGCCGUAACUGACGCUGAGGAGCGAAAGCAUGGGUAGCAAACAGGAUUAGAUACCCUGGUAGUCCAUGCCGUAAACGUUGGGCACUAGGUGUGGGUCUCAACCAACGAGAUCCGCGCCGUCGCUAACGCAUUAAGUGCCCCGCCUGGGGAGUACGGUCGCAAGACUAAAACUCAAAUGAAUUGACGG